GAGUCCAACAUAAUAAGGGUCCAGGGGAGAGGCAGGCCCUUCGCCUGUAAGAAACUUCUAUUGCAAAUAGGAAAUGUGUCUGUGUGUGUCAGGUGUCGUAAUCAUCCCUGUCGGGUUUCUUCUGCAGAUCUGACAAAAUGUCCUUCUCCUCAUCGUUGCUCACAAUCAUCUUCAUCACUGCCUUGGUAUGUCCUCUGUAUUCUGGAGCUCUUCUUACACCACAAAGACACAGUCGCGAGGAGCCAGACUGUGAUAGAUAUAUAGGUCGAUUAUAUUCGUGC